rnacentral:misc_RNA from 1 species
UCUUCUUCUUCUUCUUCUUCUUCUUCGUUUUGUAGCUCUAAUUCGGGUACUGCAUUACCAAAAUCAAUAAAUUUGCGUAAUUCGACGUCGAGAAAAUGGAUCGGAUUUGAUAAUGGUGCAAAAAACGAGGUCUCUUCGGUCAAUUCGGUCUUCUGGAAGCGAAAUCCAAAUGGAUCUCAAAAGAAAAAACGGACCUUAAGUUUUAAGGCCUUGUUUGGGAGGAAAUCUUUGUGGCGGAGGAUAGUGUUUACUUCGACGAAAGUUAGGAGCAUCAUUUUGCUCAACGUCAUCACUGUUGUCUAUGCUAGCAACAUUCCAGUUGUCAAAGAAGUUGAAGCAAUAAUAGAUCCAGCAACCUUUACUGUUGUACGAUUUGCUGUAUCUACUAUUCCAUUCAUCCCAUUUGUAUUGCAAGCACGAGGCAAUGUGAAAACCCGUAAUGCAGGGAUUGAGUUGGGUUUCUGGGUUAGUUUAGGAUACCUAAUGCAGGCACUUGGAUUGAUGACAUCGGAUGCUGGGCGUGCAUCAUUUAUAUCUAUGUUCACUGUAAUUGUGGUUCCAUUGCUUGAUGGUAUGUUAGGAGCAGUAGUUCCUGCCCGUACCUGGUUUGGAGCUCUUAUGUCCAUCAUAGGAGUUGCAAUGCUGGAAUCCAGUGGAUCUCCUCCUAGCAUUGGAGAUCUCUUGAACUUCUUAAGUGCGGUGUUUUUUGGUGUCCAUAUGCUUAGAACUGAACAUAUAUCUAGAAGCACAAAUAAAAAGGACUUCUUAUCUCUCCUUGGAUAUCAGGUAUGUGUUGUUGCUCUCUUCUCAACAAUAUGGUAUUUUGUUGGAGGCUGGUCUGGUGGCAUCCACGCUUGUGAUCCAUCAUCCUGGACAUGGACAAUGGUUUGGCAUUGGAUGGUUACUUUUCCAUGGAUGCCUGCACUGUAUACAGGAGUAUUCUCAACUGGAUUAUGCUUAUGGAUUGAGAUGGCUGCCAUGUGUGAUGUAUCGGCGACAGAAACUGCAAUAAUUUAUGGGCUGGAACCAGUGUGGGGUGCUGGUUUUGCGUGGUUUCUCCUUGGUGAAAGGUGGGGUCUUGCUGGUUGGAUUGGGGCUGCUCUUGUGCUUGUGGGAAGCCUGACAGUCCAAAUAUUCGGAUCAUCAUCCCCUGGUGGGUCAAAUGAGGAUGAAGAGAGAAAUAAGAAAGUUGAUCACCAUCUGGUUUCAAAUAAGCAAAAUGGUUUCUCUACCUCUCCAGUUUCAAUCAGUUCCAGAAAGGAUGUAACUAGCGUAUUGAAGAAGUAAGGCAUAUCUCAUCCCUUUCUCCUUAAAUAGAUUAUCAGAUUUUUUUUUUUG